ACGUCGCUUUAGUUUUUCCUAUUCUGUUCACAUUUUUUUUUAUUUUUUUCUUUGUUUUCACGUGGGUUUGGAAAAGGGGGGUAACAAAUCGUUCUUUUGGUUUCUUGAUUUUUAAUGCCAAAGCCUCAUUAUUUUACUAUUCAAAGAUCGGUAGUGGCGUUAAUCGAGUAUGUUCCAACGUGACUCGAGUGUGAGGAACGUGAGAAUCAGAAAUCCCCUCUUGCGAUUUAGUUGUUUUAGGGGCUGCUGUUAACGUGGGUACUAUUUUCUUCAUGAGUGUGGUGGUCUCGAAAUCGAAUUAGGUGUGUAUCGAAAAACAUGAAAAAUAACGAUCGACGAAAGACAAAAAAGUUUACUGUCGAUGCCACAUGGCAGUGUGCCAGACCGUGUUGUAGGCCGUGUGACAGACCGUUUGCAGGACCGUGUGUGACACAUGAGCUAGGCUAUUUGGGCCGUGUGGGCCCAAAAUUCUAAAAUAUUCUCUAAGGCCGGACACGAGUUCUCGAUUAGAUGUGGGUCUUCCGUAGGCUCGGUAUGUGAGUAAAUGUACAGUAAAACAUGAAAUCUAAACAUUUGUUAGUAGAGUUUCUGCUAUCUGUAAGAGUAAUUAAGAUACCGAUUGAUAAAUAAACCCGAAAAUUUAUGUUAAGUAUAUGAUUUGUAUCUGAUUUGUUGUGCAUGUAAAACUAUAGCAUGUAUAAUUCCUAUUUUGAAUAUGUUUGAUAUU